CUUACGAGUGAUGAAAUUCUGCAGUAGAGUCUUACCUUAGAGUGUGCAACGUACGAAUGCUUAUGUAUAAGCUACGGUAGUUUAAUGUUUCAUUGCAAGGAUAAAAGUCGUAUUCCCGUCAUAUUUGUUUCAAUUACUGCCUGCAGAAUGUUAAAAACUAUUUUUAGCAUGGAAUUUGUGAUUUUACUCGGACUGUCAUCAAUGCUCUGCGCCGUUGGGCAAGAUCCUGCUGCGCUACCAGGCAGUAAGCCAAUCGGAUAUCCUGUGAACCCCUGUGCACUAGUCCUGUGCGCUCCAUGCCCGCCACCGAUAGCGACUGCUGGAUCGCCGCUAAAUGCGGCAGUGGCUCGUCCUUAUCCUCCAACAGACAUCUCCAAGUGCUGCCAGUGUCCUAUUGGAUGAUUAGUGGAAAAACAAAAACAAAAGAUUAGUUGCCAAAAUGCAACAAGUUAUUACCGAUAUCGGUGCAGUUACAGAUGAGGCUUCUCGUCGAUACAGCAUCAACGGAGUGCGUUUUCUGCUUUCGGCUUUUAAAAUAAUUACACAAAUGCCUAUAAUUUCUAAUGACUUUUUAUAUGUAAUAUAAUACAACAACAAUUUAUUAUUUUUUCAUUUUUAAGCAUGUAUAAAUUCUGUUAUUCCCUUCUCGUACGAUUUUAUCUAAGGUAUAGGAGCCAUCGAAGCAAAAAUCUAAAGAAAGCAAGUUACGCAGGGACAGUACUGAACAGUUCUUAUCGUAUUAUUAUGUGAUAUUUUAUUGUUGUGGUAACCGUUUGCUUGUAAUUAUUAUAAAUGCAAAUUUUUUUACUGGUUGCAACAUGCAGUCAAUUGCUACACAAAGGUCAUCCUCUCAUUUCACCUGCAUGUAUGACUCAUCAGCAUUUGCCUAUAUGACAUCAUUCGUAUAAGGGCAUCAUCUGAGCUUCGGUAUUUGUAAAAAAUCUUUUGUCGAAAAUACAAAGCCUCCUCCUGACCUUACAGAAUUCAAUAUUUCAAAGCUGUCUCCGUCUGAGGUUUUGGAUUGUAUCGCGAGAAUUGAUUGUGACUUCCUCUUUUUGAUUAUAUUCGGCACCAUGCAAACGAGACAUGAAUCAUCGAUGCAGUCAUAGACCGUGGGCAAUAAAGCUACCGUACUUUAUUCCGUAGCUGGUAUCAUGGUACAUUGUACCGCGAACAUUUUUGCAAGCGCCUAAAACAAAAAAUAAUAAACCACAACUGUGUAUACGCUUUAAGCUGCCAUUUUUUGAAAUAAGUUUUUCCUCAAGCUUUUUUGAAAUUGGGUGUCCCAUAAAUUUUUUGUUUAAUGAUCGACUU